AUUGAAUGCUGGCGGCAUGCCUUACACAUGCAAGUCGAACGGCAGCACGGGAGCUAUCCUGGUGGCGAGUGGCGAACGGGUGAGUAAAGUAUCGGAACGUGCCCAGUCGUGGGGGAUAACGUAGCGAAAGUUACGCUAAUACCGCAUACGAUCUAUGGAUGAAAGCGGGGGAUCGCAAGACCUCGCGCGAUUGGAGCGGCCGAUAUCAGAUUAGGUAGUUGGUGGGGUAAAGGCUCACCAAGCCGACGAUCUGUAGCUGGUCUGAGAGGACGACCAGCCACACUGGGACUGAGACACGGCCCAGACUCCUACGGGAGGCAGCAGUGGGGAAUUUUGGACAAUGGGCGAAAGCCUGAUCCAGCCAUGCCGCGUGCAGGAUGAAGGCCUUCGGGUUGUAAACUGCUUUUGUACGGAACGAAAAGGUUUGGCCUAAUAAGCUGAGCUCAUGACGGUACCGUAAGAAUAAGCACCGGCUAACUACGUGCCAGCCGCCGCGGUAA
rnacentral:rRNA from 1 species